GACGAACGCUGGCGGCGUGCCUAACACAUGCAAGUCGAGCGGAGAUUGCAGUAAUGUAAUCUUAGCGGCGGACGGGUGAGUAACGCGUGGGCAACCUGCCUUGUACUGGGGGAUAACACAGGGAAACUUGUGCUAAUACCGCAUAAGAUCAUAAUAUGGCAUCAUAAAGUGAUCAAAGGAGUAAUCCGGUAUAAGAUGGGCCCG
rnacentral:rRNA from 1 species